rnacentral:snoRNA from 1 species
GGCCUCUUGGUGCUCACCACAGGUGUGUCCUUGCACUGACCACAUGGGAGGAGGAAGCAGAGCAGAACCACCUGGGUACGCCCCAGCCCAGGCCCCGUGCUCGCUCAGCACCGUGAGUGUGAACUUGG